UACGUAGGGUGCGAGCGUUAAUCGGAAUUACUGGGCGUAAAGUGUGCGCAGGCGGCCGCGCAAGUCGAGUGUGAAAGCCCCGGGCUUAACUUGGGAAUUGCGCUCGAAACUACGUGGCUGGAGUGUGGCAGAGGAAGGUGGAAUUCCUGGUGUAGCGGUGAAAUGCGCAGAUAUCAGGAGGAACACCGGUGGCGAAGGCGGAUCUCUGGGCCAUUACUGACGCUGAGGAGCGAAAGCGUGGGGAGCGAACAGG
rnacentral:rRNA from 1 species